rnacentral:rRNA from 1 species
UGAGGAAUUUUGCGCAAUGGCCGCAAGGCUGACGCAGCAACGCCGCGUGGGUGAUGAAGGCCUUCGGGUCGUAAAGCCCUGUCAGGUGGGAAGAAAGGCCUGGAGAGGAAAGGUUUCAGGUUUGACGGUACCACCAGAGGAAGCACCGGCUAACUCCGUGCCAGCAGCCGCGGUAAUACGGAGGGGGCGAGCGUUAUUCGGAAUUACUGGGCGUAAAGCGCGUGUAGGCGGGGGGACAAGUCUGAUGUGAAAGCCCUGGGCUUAACCUGGGAAGCGCAUUGGAAACUGUUUUUCUUGAGUACUGGAGAGGAAGGGGGAAUUCCCGGUGUAGAGGUGAAAUUCGUAGAGAUCGGGAGGAAUACCAGUGGCGUAGGCGCCCUUCUGGACGGUAACUGACGCUGAGACGCGAAAGCGUGGGGAGCAAACA